GGGUUGUGAGGUUAAGCGACUAAGCGUACACGGUGGAUGCCCUGGCAGUCAGAGGCGAUGAAGGGCGUGCUAAUCUGCGAUAAGCGCCGGUAAGGUGAUAUGAACCGUUAUAACCGGCGAUACCCGAAUGGGGAAACCCAGUGUGAUUCGUCACACUAUCAUUAACUGAAUCCAUAGGUUAAUGAGGCGAACCGGGGGAACUGAAACAUCUAAGUACCCCGAGGAAAAGAAAUCAACCGAGAUUCCCCCAGUAGCGGCGAGCGAACGGGGAGGAGCCCAGAGCCUGAAUCAGCAUGUGUGUUAGUGGAAGCGUCUGGAAAGGCGCGCGAUACAGGGUGACAGCCCCGUACACAAAAGCGCAUGUGCUGUGAGCUCGAUGAGUAGGGCGGGACACGUGGUAUCCUGUCUGAAUAUGGG
rnacentral:rRNA from 1 species